rnacentral:rRNA from 1 species
AGAGAUUGAACAUAAGAGUUUGAUCCUGGCUCAGAUUGAACGCUGGCGGCAUGCUUUACACAUGCAAGUCGGACGGCAGCACAGAGAAGCUUGCUUCUCGGGUGGCGAGUGGCGAACGGGUGAGUAACAUAUCGGAACGUACCGAGUAGUGGGGGAUAACUGAUCGAAAGAUCAGCUAAUACCGCAUACGUCUUGAGAGAGAAAGCAGGGGACCUUUGGGCCUUGCGCUAUUCGAGCGGCCGAUAUCUGAUUAGCUGGUUGGUGGGGUAAAGGCCUACCAAGGCGACGAUCAGUAGCGGGUCUGAGAGGAUGAUCCGCCACACUGGGACUGAGACACGGCCCAGACUCCUACGGGAGGCAGCAGUGGGGAAUUUUGGACAAUGGGCGCAAGCCUGAUCCAGCCAUGCCGCGUGUCUGAAGAAGGCCUUCGGGUUGUAAAGGACUUUUGUCAGGGAAGAAAAGGCUGUUGCUAAUAUCAGCGGCUGAUGACGGUACCUGAAGAAUAAGCACCGGCUAACUACGUGCCAGCAGCCGCGGUAAUACGUAGGGUGCGAGCGUUAAUCGGAAUUACUGGGCGUAAAGCGGGUGCAGACGGUUACUUAAGCAGGAUGUGAAAUCCCCGGGCUCAACCCGGGAACUGCGUUCUGAACUGGGUGACUCGAGUGUGUCAGAGGGAGGUAGAAUUCCACGUGUAGCAGUGAAAUGCGUAGAGAUGUGGAGGAAUACCGAUGGCGAAGGCAGCCUCCUGGGAUAACACUGACGUUCAUGCCCGAAAGCGUGGGUAGCAAACAGGAUUAGAUACCCUGGUAGUCCACGCCCUAAACGAUGUCAAUUAGCUGUUGGGCAACUUGAUUGCUUAGUAGCGUAGCUAACGCGUGAAAUUGACCGCCUGGGGAGUACGGUCGCAAGAUUAAAACUCAAAGGAAUUGACGGGGACCCGCACAAGCGGUGGAUGAUGUGGAUUAAUUCGAUGCAACGCGAAGAACCUUACCUGGUCUUGACAUGUACGGAAUCCUCUGGAGACGGAGGAGUGCCUUCGGGAGCCGUAACACAGGUGCUGCAUGGCUGUCGUCAGCUCGUGUCGUGAGAUGUUGGGUUAAGUCCCGCAACGAGCGCAACCCUUGUCAUUAGUUGCCAUCAUUCAGUUGGGCACUCUAAUGAGACUGCCGGUGACAAGCCGGAGGAAGGUGGGGAUGACGUCAAGUCCUCAUGGCCCUUAUGACCAGGGCUUCACACGUCAUACAAUGGUCGGUACAGAGGGUAGCCAAGCCGCGAGGCGGAGCCAAUCUCACAAAACCGAUCGUAGUCCGGAUUGCACUCUGCAACUCGAGUGCAUGAAGUCGGAAUCGCUAGUAAUCGCAGGUCAGCAUACUGCGGUGAAUACGUUCCCGGGUCUUGUACACACCGCCCGUCACACCAUGGGAGUGGGGGAUACCAGAAGUAGGUAGGAUAACCGCAAGGGGUCCGCUUACCACGGUAUGCUUCAUGACUGGGGUGAAGUCGUAACAAGGUAGCCGUAGGGGAACCUGCGGCUGGAUCACCUCCUUUCUA